UUGCAAGAAAACUUUGCACUCUGCUGAGAAGUAAUGCUGUUGUAUAAUAUAUCUGACAAGUUGAAGAAUGGAACAAGGGGAAGAAUUACAGAUUUAAAUGAAGAUGGACCAAAGUUAAUUGAUUAACUAUGGAAGGACCAACUGUAGACUUUUGUCAAAUAGGUUCCUCUCUGCCAAGAAAACAUAUCAAAGACUACUUGAAGCAUGAUGGAAAACUUACAAUGGAUCCUGCUGGUGCAUGAGAUUUCAACAUGAAAAUAGAAUAGAAAGCAUUUUAAAGACAAGAUUAGCUGGAUUGGAAACUAUCAAUGAACAAACAAAUACUGCCAGUUUACAGUUACUAUUACUUACUAGCUUAUUGUUUGCUCUUUGAGGUGAAAAGUAACCUUGAAAAGUAAUAAAAAUAUUGGCAAACCAUA